rnacentral:rRNA from 1 species
CUAGCGUUGUUUGGAAUUACUGGGCGUAAAGCGCGUGUAGGCGGUUGUUCAAGUCAGGUGUGAAAGCCUUGAGCUCAACUCAAGAAAUGCACUUGAUACUGGAUGACUAGAGGACCGGAGAGGAUAGUGGAAUUCCCAGUGUAGUGGUGAAAUACGUAGAGAUUGGGAAGAACACCAGUGGCGAAGGCGGCUAUCUGGACGGUUUCUGACGCUAAGACGCGAAAGCGUGGGGAGCAAACAGG